rnacentral:rRNA from 1 species
UACGGAGGGUGCAAGCGUUAUCCGGAUUCACUGGGUUUAAAGGGUGCGUAGGUGGGUUGGUAAGUCAGUGGUGAAAUCUCCGAGCUUAACUCGGAAAGGUCAACUGAUACUGCGGGGCUAGAGUGCGGAAGGGGCAACUGGAAUUCUUGGUGUAGCGGUGAAAUGCGUAGAUAUCAAGAGGAACACCUGCGGCGAAGGCGGGUUGCUGGGCCGACACUGACGCUGAGGCGCGAAAGCUAGGGGAGCGAACGGG